GUACACGAUUUCAGGAAAACUCUUCUUGUAUUCAAACCUUCCCACUUCAGUGGAUAGAAGUGCCUGACUAUGGAGCCAGGAGUUCAAGUCCCCACUGUGCCUGUCAGGAGAGGGGCCAGCUAAGAUCACCCAGAGCACAUGUGGGUGAUGGGCAGCGCUGUAAGAACCAUUCUGGCAUCUGAAUCAAUUGGCAGCCCAACCUCCUUGUAGAAGAUGGAGAUACUGCCUACAGCUACCACACCAGGUGCUUUCCUCCCUUGGUUCCUGUCAGGAAGGAAAGCCAGCCAUCAGGGGUUCAUCUACCUGAAGCCUCAUUUCAAAGGCAGUCUCUCCAAACAUAUUUAAAAUGCAACUGCAAGUGUUUGCCUCCUCUCUUGGCAGAAGAGUUAAAGGACCUCAAGCCAGCUUUGAUGAGACUCAAUUGCUGGUGUGAAAGCUGACCUGAAUAACAACAUCCCUUACUGCUCCUGCUGCUGCAGAAUGUGUGCUCUGUUUCAGAUGGGAAUAAGGAAUGUCAUCUUUUUUUUCUCCUGGGAUGCAGCCCAGCCUCCAUGUACGGGAUGGAGACACUGUCCACAACUCCCAAACCAAGCUCCAGAAAGCAAUUAAUGUGAAGAAUAAUCGAGAAAGAUUAGCUGGGCAACAGCUGCUCACCAUUGCAAGCCACCAUUCUUAUCAGAUGAAAUAAUUUUAUUUGAAAUUUAGAUUGAACCCAAAUUAAAGAAACAGUAUUAUUCCCCUUGUAAGAAGAACAUUGAUAUUACGUUCCUACACCUGCUCACUCAAAAUUCAGACCCAUUGCACAGAGUGGGAUUUACUCAUAGGGAAGUAUACCUAUCAGAUUGGCACAGUGCCCCAUCAUUUCUGCUUUGACUUUCCUUGGAAUUUCACUGGUAGGAAUAUUUUGAUUUU